rnacentral:rRNA from 1 species
GGGACACGUGGUAUCCUGUCUGAAUAUGGGGGGACCAUCCUCCAAGGCUAAAUACUCCUGACUGACCGAUAGUGAACCAGUACCGUGAGGGAAAGGCGAAAAGAACCCCGGCGAGGGGAGUGAAAAAGAACCUGAAACCGUGUACGUACAAGCAGUGGGAGCACGCUUAGGCGUGUGACUGCGUACCUUUUGUAUAAUGGGUCAGCGACUUAUAUUCUGUAGCAAGGUUAACCGAAUAGGGGAGCCGAAGGGAAACCGAGUCUUAACUGGGCGUUAAGUUGCAGGGUAUAGACCCGAAACCCGGUGAUCUAGCCAUGGGCAGGUUGAAGGUUGGGUAACACUAACUGGAGGACCGAACCGACUAAUGUUGAAAAAUUAGCGGAUGACUUGUGGCUGGGGGUGAAAGGCCAAUCAAACCGGGAGAUAGCUGGUUCUCCCCGAAAGCUAUUUAGGUAGCGCCUCGUGAAUUCAUCUCCGGGGGUAGAGCACUGUUUCGGCAAGGGGGUCAUCCCGACUUACCAACCCGAUGCAAACUGCGAAUACCGGAGAAUGUUAUCACGGGAGACACACGGCGGGUGCUAACGUCCGUCGUGAAGAGGGAAACAACCCAGACCGCCAGCUAAGGUCCCAAAGUCAUGGUUAAGUGGGAAACGAUGUGGGAAGGCCCAGACAGCCAGGAUGUUGGCUUAGAAGCAGCCAUCAUUUAAAGAAAGCGUAAUAGCUCACUGGUCGAGUCGGCCUGCGCGGAAGAUGUAACGGGGCUAAACCAUGCACCGAAGCUGCGGCAGCGACGCUUAUGCGUUGUUGGGUAGGGGAGCGUUCUGUAAGCCUGUGAAGGUGUGCUGUGAGGCAUGCUGGAGGUAUCAGAAGUGCGAAUGCUGACAUAAGUAACGAUAAAGCGGGUGAAAAGCCCGCUCGCCGGAAGACCAAGGGUUCCUGUCCAACGUUAAUCGGGGCAGGGUGAGUCGACCCCUAAGGCGAGGCCGAAAGGCGUAGUCGAUGGGAAACAGGUUAAUAUUCCUGUACUUGGUGUUACUGCGAAGGGGGGACGGAGAAGGCUAUGUUGGCCGGGCGACGGUUGUCCCGGUUUAAGCGUGUAGGCUGGUUUUCCAGGCAAAUCCGGAAAAUCAAGGCUGAGGCGUGAUGACGAGGCACUACGGUGCUGAAGCAACAAAUGCCCUGCUUCCAGGAAAAGCCUCUAAGCAUCAGGUAACAUCAAAUCGUACCCCAAACCGACACAGGUGGUCAGGUAGAGAAUACCAAGGCGCUUGAGAGAACUCGGGUGAAGGAACUAGGCAAAAUGGUGCCGUAACUUCGGGAGAAGGCACGCUGAUAUGUAGGUGAAGCGACUUGCUCGUGGAGCUGAAAUCAGUCGAAGAUACCAGCUGGCUGCAACUGUUUAUUAAAAACACAGCACUGUGCAAACACGAAAGUGGACGUAUACGGUGUGACGCCUGCCCGGUGCCGGAAGGUUAAUUGAUGGGGUCAGCGCAAGCGAAGCUCUUGAUCGAAGCCCCGGUAAACGGCGGCCGUAACUAUAACGGUCCUAAGGUAGCGAAAUUCCUUGUCGGGUAAGUUCCGACCUGCACGAAUGGCGUAAUGAUGGCCAGGCUGUCUCCACCCGAGACUCAGUGAAAUUGAACUCGCUGUGAAGAUGCAGUGUACCCGCGGCAAGACGGAAAGACCCCGUGAACCUUUACUAUAGCUUGACACUGAACAUUGAGCCUUGAUGUGU